rnacentral:rRNA from 1 species
GAUGAACGCUGGCGGCGUGCCUAACACAUGCAAGUCGAACGGAGAUUACGGACGGAAGUUUUCGGAUGGAAGACUGUAAUUCUUAGUGGCGGACGGGUGAGUAACGCGUGGGCAACCUGCCCUAUACAGGGGGAUAGCAGCUGGAAACGGCUGGUAAGACCGCAUAAGUCGGCGAGACCGCAUGGUUUUGCCGGGAAAUGAGCAAUCAGGUAUAGGAUGGGCCCGCGUCCGAUUAGCCAGUUGGCAGGGUAAAAGCCUACCAAAGCAACGAUCGGUAGCCGGACUGAGAGGUCGGACGGCCACAUUGGGACUGAGACACGGCCCAAACUCCUACGGGAGGCAGCAGUGGGGGAUAUUGCACAAUGGAGGAAACUCUGAUGCAGCGACGCCGCGUGAGUGAAGAAGUAGUUCGGUAUGUAAAGCUCUAUCAGCAGGGAAGAUGAUGACGGUACCUGACUAAGAAGCCCCGGCUAACUACGUG